rnacentral:lncRNA from 1 species
UACUGCCAUUGGCCAAAGGAGCUGCCCUCCUUGCCAGGGUGUUGGGGUCCUUUUCCUGUCUCCACUGGACUGACUGCCAUAACAAGCAUUAUUUAGUUCUGUGUGAUGGUUAUUUAUUUGGAGUUGGGGUUUUUUGGAUUAUUCCUUUUUCACUUCCAGCUGAAUGGUAAAAUAAUUCCUGCUUCUCUUCACACCCCAAGGUUCCCCUCCUCCUCGUCCCAGUCUAGAGCUAAUCAAUCAGACUGCCUUAAUUGGUGCUUCACUGCAGUCACCCACCCUCCAAAAUGCAAGGUUACACACUGCAUUGCCCUUACCCUGCACUUCACACAUGCAUAGGGAGAGCGGGUCCUCUCGGGGUCCCGGGACCAAUCCCCAUCGCACCCACCUCUGGCUGGAAAGGGAGAUCGUGGCAUCAGCCCCACAGGAGGAGUGAGACGGGCUGUGAACACCAGCCAGCUUGCCCCAGCACUUGGGAAUGAUCAGGGAUCUCCACAGGAUCAGUCGCUUCCCAUCUCUAUUAUUUCUUUAUAAAUAUGCACAUCCGAAAUCUCUCGUUCUUCCACAGGAGUUAUGGAAAUGCACAAUGUGCUUUUAACAUGCGCAUCCUCUACCGAGUGCAAUAACCUCCCCUGGCCCGUGGCUGUCCCGGACUUUGGCCAUUGCUGUCGGCAAGGCAGAAGGGAUCCUGCUGUGGGGACAGCCUCCUGCUUUCAACAACCAAUGUAGCAAAUACACAGUGGAAGAGCCAGGUUGGAAUGUCAGUCUGUGGUGGACAAAGCCUGUUACAACGCUGAAGGCUGACAGGGAGCCGUGUUUUUCUUUUCCCCGUCAAUUACCUAUUAUGAAACUCUGAGUUUCUUCAAGCUCCCCAUUAUGCCUAUAUCAUUCCUCCAUAGAUCUCUCAGUCUAAUACAGAGGAAAAUUUUUUUAUUGUCUGUAUAUAGUAUAUAUAAAUUAAAAAAAAAUAUAAAUUAUAUAUAUACACAAAUUUAUGUCUUGUUUUACAAACAAGAAAGAUUAAAUAUAUUAAUCUUAA